rnacentral:rRNA from 1 species
GAUGAACGCUGGCGGCGUGCUUAACACAUGCAAGUCGAACGGAAAGGCUCCUGCUUGCAGGGGUACUCGAUUGGCGAACGGGUGAGUAACACGUGUGUGAUCUGCCCCGCACUUCGGGAUAAGCCUGGGAAACUGGGUCUAAUACCGGAUAGGACAGUGUUUUGGAUGCCAUUGUGGAAAGUUUUUUGGGUGUGGGGUGAGCUCGCGGCGUAUCGGCUUGUUGGUGGGGUAAUGGCCUACCAAGGCGUGGACGUGUAGCCGGCCUGUGAGGGUGUACGGCGGUCCUGGCUCCUACGGAAGGCCGCAGUGGCGAAGGGAGGACGAUGGGGGGAAGCUUGAACAAGCGACGCAAGGCGGGUGAAGAAGGGCCGCGGGGUGGAAGACGGCCUUCGGGUUGAAAAAUCAUUGCGCUAGGGACGAAGCGUUAUGUGACGGUACCUAAAGAAGAAGCACCGGCUAACUACGUG